rnacentral:lncRNA from 1 species
GGCAGGCACCGCUCUCUGGCACUACAGUGGGCUUCCUGUCUCCUGGCCCAGACAUCCCACUAGACCCACCUCAGACCACAGGUCGGAAGCCCAGGCCUUGCGGCGACCUGGGGCGGCGGCCACCAUGCAAUGUCCCAGGUGCCCCAGUUUUGCCUUUGGUGGCAAACAAACAAAAAGCCUACACGUUCCGGAACCCUCCCCUCAGAGUAUGACCCUGUCUCUGAUAGGGACAGAUUGGCCGGAAGGGAAGUGGGAACUUGCUCUACUGUUCCUCUUUCACCAACUUGGCCAGUGAAGAAGCCACUAAAAUCGCGAAAUUAACCAGUCUGACUAGUUUGUCCCUGCGGCCGCCUCGUAGACGGCGGCCCAGCGCGUUUCCCGGGACCACAUUGCCAUGGCUGCCGGCGGUGGCGUCGCUUCCAGCGAAACGCUGCGUUACGCCGAGUACUCGCAGCCUACGGGGAAACUGCCGGACGCCGAACUCGACCACCGACUGGUGAGUCCGACCUCGCCCGUGCGGCUCUGUACCCUUUGCGACUUUGUACUCCCCGCGUCCUUUCUCUGUCCCACUCCGGCCGCUCAUCUGUUAGGCGGAGAGCCUGCUCCGCGGGGCUCUGGCGACGAGGCGUGGAAGACGGCCUUUCUGAGGGUCUCUGUCUCCGCAAGGAGCUUCCAGUCUUGUCGCGGACAGACAGACCAGAAGACCCGCCACUGCAGAGACAAGAUACUGAGUGCUGUGGGCUGGACUAUCCUUUCGUGUCGGAGACUCGAGACAGGUCUUGCAGGGGAUAUGGUAGAGACCCAGGACUCCUCUUGGGGAAAGCGGUGGUUAAAAACCACCAUCUGAAGAAUCCGCAAAAACAGCCACCCAGGGGAAAGAAGAGCGCACAGUGCUUUAGUCAAAGGCUGGGAAGUCUGGGGCAGACGAACGGUCCAACCAGAAGGGCAAGUAGUUUAUUCACGUGGCAAGUUAGAGCUGGGAAAGGGGA